AUCACACUGUUAAGAAGAGAGCUUGCAGUUUCUAACAGGAUGAUUUUUUUUUUAUAUAAAUUUGAUUGUUUUUUUUAGAAUUUGAAUUGCACUAGGAAAUAGGAUCUGUGGCUGCAAAAGCAUAUGCCCAGACUCCUAAUAUAUAAAAAGUGCAUAUACUGAUUUUAUAGGGUACCGCUUUGCAGCUAUGAAUUAUCUCAGGAGAUGAGCAAGGGAAGAGAUCUAUUUAUUAUCUUUUACCAUCUUUGAAACACAAUGUAGAGUUAAAAAAUACUUAUGUGUAUUCGAAAUAAUCAUAAAUUAUUAAGUUAUGUGUCCAACAUGUUAUAUUUAA